rnacentral:rRNA from 1 species
AGGACGAACGCUGGCGGCGUGCUUAACACAUGCAAGUCGAGCGGAAAGGCCCUUCGGGGUACUCGAGCGGCGAACGGGUGAGUAACACGUGGGUAACCUGCCCCUUGCUCUGGGAUAACUCCGGGAAACCGGGGCUAAUACCGGAUAUGACACUCGCAGGCAUCUGCUGGGUGUGGAAAGUUUUUUCGGCGAGGGAUGGGCCCGCGGCCUAUCAGCUUGUUGGUGGGGUGAUGGCCUACCAAGGCGACGACGGGUA